UAUUUUUUAAUCAAUAAACGAUAUAAUGGGCAAAAACAACCUUCUUCGUAAAUUCACACCUUUACGAUACCGAAAACGAGACUGAAAAUGUAAUACCGGAUCUGACGUCACAACCCAUCAUUGGCGGUUUCUUCACAACAAGACGAGAGUAUAAAAGAAGAAAAUAUUCGAAGAGAAAUGGCAAGUAAGAGUAAGGGACGCAUGUGUGUAGUUGUAGGAAGCAACAACAGGCCCUCGGACACCAUUUCCGUCCAUGUUUUCCCGAAGGACGAGCGACAGAGAGCAGCAUAGACUCGAUUUGUGAGACUGACCCGUGCAGACUGGACAGGAUCGUCCCAGUAUACUGUUGUUUGUAGUGGACAUUUCACGGACGGAUGUUUCCAGGCUCAGUUUUCACUGAUGAGAGAAUUUGUAAUUCCUGCGAAAAAACGCCUCUGCUCUGGUGUGAUUCUAUCGAUUUAUUCUAAGAGGAAAGUGGACGACCUCAACCUUGCCCUCCUCUCUUCGCCCGAGCCUAAACCCAAGCGCCAGGCUGCCGUCAAGCUGGAGAAAAAUAGGAAUUCCUCAAGGCUGCAUGACAUAACGAAGGAGGGGGACCAACAAUUUAAAAUCAGCUUCCCGAAGUUCAAGUGUUCGUAGGAAGCCUGUUGAUCCACCAAUUACCCAUCAGUCCUGAUGAAGGAGACUUAUUUGGUUUUUCAAGGGUCAUCAGAACCAUUACCAUGCUCAUUGCCAGCUCAACCACCUCCACUGUGCAGUGAAUUUUUC